GUUGAACGCUGGCGGCGUGCCUAACACAUGCAAGUCGAGCGAACGGAGGAGGCUCUCUCCUGGAUGCUGCUACGGGCGGGCGGGUAAGUCCUACGUAGCUACCCUGCAUUUAGGAAUGAGAUAACUUAAGGGGCCCGAAUACCACACCCGAUCUUAUUUAGAAAGGCAUGGAUCAUCGGACCACGACCUAUUAGCUGACACUUAUUCAGAUUUCCUCGCUGCAUUAGCUAGUUGGUAAGGUAACGGCUUACCAAGGCAACGAUGCGUAGCCGAUCUGAGAGGGUGAUCGGCCACACUGGAACUGAGACACGGUCCAGACUCCUACGGGAGGCAGCAGUGGGGAAUAUUCCGCAAUGGGCGAAAGCCUGACGGAGCAACGCCGCGUGAGUGAUGAAGGUCUUCGGAUCGUAAAGCUCUGUUAUUAGGGAAGAACAUAAGUAUAUGAAACUCUGCACAUCUUGACGGUACCAAAUGAAAAAGCCACGGCUAACUACGUG
rnacentral:rRNA from 1 species